UACCAGGGCCCAGUUGUUCAAAAGUGUCGUUAGGCUAACGAUAUCGUUAAAGUGUCGUUAACAUGUCGUUAUAAUUUAACGAUAAUGUUAAGUGUUGUUCAAAAAUAUUAUCGUUAACUUUUGUGUUAAAACCUCGCUAACUUUAAUCACUUGUUUACCCAUGAUUAAAUGCUAACGACUGCGUUAAUCAUGGCUGGCUUAGCAUUGUACAAUGUUCCACCACAAAGAAGACCGAGACAUUUUCGAAACAGGGACGGCUUUUCGUUGGAAUUUCAGUGAUGAGGAGUUGAGGGCCAGAUACAGAUUCAGCAGACA
rnacentral:lncRNA from 1 species